CCUACGGGGUGCAGCAGUGAGGAAUAUUGGUCAAUGGGCGCGAGCCUGAACCAGCUAAGUAGCGUGAAGGAUGACUGCCCUACGGGUUGUAACCUUCUUUUAUAAAGGAAUAAAGUGAGGCACGUGUGCCUUUUUGUAUGUACUUUAUGAAUAAGGAUCGGCUAACUCCGUGACAGCAGCCGCGGUAAUACGGAGGAUCCGAGCGUUAUCCGGAUUUAUUGGGUUUAAAGGGAGCGUAGAUGGGUUGUUAAGUCAGUUGUGAAAGUUUACGGCUCAACCGUAAAAUUGCAAUUGAUACUGGCAGUCUUGAGUACAGUUGAGGGAGGCGGAAUUCGUGGUGUAGCAGUGAAAUGCUUAGAUAUGACGAAGAACACCGAUGGCGAAGGCAGCUUACUAAACUGCAACUGACAUUGAUGCUCGAAAGUGUGGGUAUCAAACAGGAUUAGAUACCCGAGUAGUC
rnacentral:rRNA from 1 species